AGCGAACGCUGGCGGCAGGCCUAAUACAUGCAAGUCGAGCGCACCUUCGGGUGAGCGGCGGACGGGUGAGUAACGCGUGGGAACGUGCCCUUUGGUACGGGAUAACUCAGGGAAACUUGAGCUAAUACCGUAUGUGCCCUUCGGGGGAAAGAUUUAUCGCCAUUGGAGCGGCCCGCGUUGGAUUAGCUAGUUGGUGGGGUAAAGGCCUACCAAGGCUACGAUCCAUAGCUGGUCUGAGAGGAUGAUCAGCCACACUGGGACUGAGACACGGCCCAGACUCCUACGGGAGGCAGCAGUAGGGAAUCUUGCGCAAUGGGCGAAAGCCUGACGCAGCCAUGCCGCGUGAAUGAUGAAGGUCUUAGGAUUGCAAAAUUCUUUCACCGGGGAAGAUAAUGACGGUACCCGGAGAAGAAGCCCCGGCUAACUUCGUGCCAGCCGCCGCAGUAA
rnacentral:rRNA from 1 species